CUCGCACUGUGGUGGAUUCUGUAAGCACACACUGUUUUAAAAGUGAAGCCGCGAAUGGCUCAUUACAACAGCCACAGUUUAUUAGAACUUACAAUCAUGGAUAACUGUGGUAAUUCUAGAGCUAAUACACGCACAAAAACUUCAACUGAAUUGGUUGAAGUGCUUUUAUUAGAACAAAAACCGAACGGCGUUUGACGAAUGUUGAACGUCGAAACUGUUUGGUGAAUCUGAAUAACUAUUUCUGAUCGCAUGGUCUAGCACCGGCGACAUCACUUUCAAGUGUCUGCCUUAUCAACCUUCGAUGGUAGUCUAUGCGACUACCAUGGUGAUAACGGGUAACGGAGAAUCAGGGUUCGACUCCGGAGAGGGAGCCUGAGAAACGGCUACCACAUCCAAGGAAGGCAGCAGGCGCGCAAAUUACCCACUCCCAGCUUGGGGAGGUAGUGACGAAAAAUAACGAGACGAUUCUCGUUUGAGAAACGUUAUCGAAAUGAGUACGCUUUACACACGCUAACGAGUAGCAAUUGGAGGGCAAGUCUGGUGCCAGCAGCCGCGGUAAUUCCAGCUCCAAUAGCGUAUAUUAAAGUUGCUGCGGUUAAAACGCUCGUAGUUGAAUUGUGGUCUUAGACAACAGUCCCCCUACAAAGGUGUGGCACGGUUGCUCGAGAUCUUCAUUCGUGGUUGCUGUUGUUGCUCUUCAUUGAGUGUCAAUGGUGCCUCGAGAUUUUACUUUGAAAAAAUUAGAGUGCUCAAAGCAGGUUGUGAUGCCUGAAUAAUGGUGCAUGGAAAUAAUAAUACGAUCUCGGUCUAUUUUUGUUGGUUUUCGACCGGAGAUAAUGA
rnacentral:ncRNA from 1 species